UGUCUAGUAGUUCAGUGGUAGAACGCCGCACUGUUAAUGCGGAUGUCGCUGGUUCGAACCCAGCCUGGACAG
rfam:Oenococcus oeni PST-1, complete genome.